rnacentral:rRNA from 1 species
UACGUAGGGUGCGAGCGUUAAUCGGAAUUACUGGGCGUAAAGCGUGCGUAGGCGGUCCGCGAAGUCUGAUGUGAAAGCCCCGGGCUCAACCGUGGAGGGUCAUUGGAAACUGGGAGACUUGAGUGCAGAAGAGGAGAGUGGAAUUCCACGUGUAGCGGUGAAAUGCGUAGAGAUGUGGAGGAACACCAGUGGCGAAGGCGACUCUCUGGUCUGUAACUGACGCUGAGGAGCGAAAGCGUGGGGAGCAAACAGG